AUUUGCAUAACCAAUCAAGUUCCAACGCGUCGAAACACAACUCGCGUCUCUGGAAGAUUUUGCUCGUGCUCUUAUAGACUCUAGUCCUGAGGCUGUUUGAUUGAAAAACUUGCGAUUGGAGAAUCAUGGAAUCGAAGAAAGUGAUGGAAGAGGAAGAAGAGAUGUGGAGGAGAGAGAUAGUAACAAGCGUGAUGAGGAUAGUGAGCACGAGAUUGCCACAGAGAGAUCUAAUUUCUCUCCUUCUCGUUAGCCCUUGGCUCUAUCGCACCCUCGUCUCCUACCCUUCCAUCUGGCUGAACAUUGAUUUGCGUGAGAGGACCAAUGCAGGGGAUAGGCUUUUAGCUGCUCUGUCUUUGCCAAGAUAUCGUCAAGUGAAGCAUAUCAAUCUUGAAUUUUCUCAGGGUGUUGAGGACACUCAUCUUCAACUUGUGAAAAGUCAGUGUCAUGAUGCGCUUUCAAGCUUAGAAUGCUUGAAUCUGAACGGGUGCCAAAAGAUAUCGGACAGUGGAAUAGAAGCUAUAACUAGUAUAUGUCCCAAGUUAAAAGUUAUCUCUAUCUACUGGAACGUGAGGGUGACUGAUGAUUGCAUUAGACAUCUAGUGAAGAAUUGCAGAAACAUCAUUGAUUUGAACCUAAGCGGCUGCAAGAGCAUAACAGACAAAGGUAUGCAACUAGUAGCUGAAAGUUAUCAAGACUUGGAGUCACUGAAUAUCACCAGGUGUGUUAAGAUCACAGAUGAUGGAUUACUUCAUGUGCUACACAAGUGUUCCUCUCUCCAGACCUUAAACCUCUAUGCUCUUUCAGGCUUCACAGACGAAGCUUACAAGAAGAUAUCUCUUUUGGCUGAGCUAAGGUUCUUAGACCUAUGUGGUGCUCAGAACUUAUCUGAUGAAGGGCUUGGUCAUAUAGCUAAGUGCAACAAGCUAGAGUCUCUCAACUUGACAUGGUGCGUGCGUAUCACAGAUGCAGGUGUGAUUACUAUUGCUAAUAGUUGUACCUCUCUCGAAUUUCUCAGCUUGUUUGGAAUAGUUGGGGUGACUGAUAGAUGUCUGGAGGCUCUCUCGCACACCUGUCCUGCUACACUCACCACUCUUGAUGUCAAUGGCUGCAUCGGCAUUAAGAGACGAAGCCGUGAAGAGUUGCUUCAGAUGUUCCCUCGUCUGAUAUGCUUCAAAGUACACAGCUAAUUUGCUCUUUGACUCCGGGACUCUCAACAAUGUCUACCCUGUUCUUUGACAAGAGUACAAAGACAUCUCUUGGUCUGCCCUUUGUCUAUUUUUUCCUUCAGUGGAGUGCAGCAUGUUGAGUCCGGAGCUUUUGAUCAGUCAUGUAAUCUCGACGUCCCUUUACGUCCUGAUUAUAUUAUGAUCUCACACCAGGAAACAUUAUUGCUACAUGUUGGAGUAUUGUUUGUACCAUCUUGUUCUUUUUUCGUCAGUAGCUCUCGGCUUAUGGAUGUGCUAGUUUUGGGGAAGAAAGACUAUGUUAUGGGGAAUGUGUUUUUGUUUUUGUAGUCGAGCUAUAUUUGGUAAUUUACUGAUACAUCUUCCAUUUCA